ensembl:snRNA U6 U6 spliceosomal RNA
GCACUGAAGUGGCAGUGCCCACCCAGCUGGACAGUGCCCGUGCUAACAUUGGAGCCAUGCAGAGAAGGUUGGCGUGGCCCCUGCUCAAGGACGGCAGGCAAGUUGGAGAAACGUUCUGCAUGUCA